AUUCUCUUUCAGCUGAACUGGUGCAGAUUCAAGCAAGGCUUGAGAUGGCUUGUCAGGAGAUUAAACAACUCCAGAUGAUCAGAGACACGCUACUGCAGGAGCUAGGUAUGGAGCGCAAGGCAAGAAUUGGCGUUCAACAGGAGCUAGAUAUUGAGCGCAAAGCCAGAGCCUCGCGAAGCUCUGCCGCCCAUACAUGGAAGGAUGUUGGUUUCUAGCCGCAUAGAACAUUACAGCUAGGAAGGACUUGAAACUACAACCAUCGAUAUGAAAAUAAUAAAAUAUGUUUAUAACUCUGCGUGGAUAAUUGCGUGCGCGCGUGUGAAUAUGUGCCGACGUACAUAUCUGAAUGUAUGUAAGUACGUUUUACAGAGGCUAUGAUAAUAUCGAGAUGAUUCUUAAUGGUAAAUGUCUAUAGAUGAUAUUUGUCCCGUAUAUUCAGUGUAUAUUAUUAAUAUGUGUAGAAUAUUUGUGAUUAAAAUACAAAAUGCUUUCUCUAGCGAUUUUUCUAGCACGUUCAAGACAUUGACUAUAUUUGCAAACGUCAGAAAAUAGUGUGGCUGCCACAAAACUGCUACAGUUACCACGCCACCGCGAAUAAGAAAUCAAAUUUUUAUCCCAUUUUAUCUAGUACAUAUGCUAUGACUCUAAAAUAGCCUGGACACACCACAUUUCAUCUUCACAUAUCAACAAAGUUGCAGUAAGCUAGAAGUGAAGCGAAACCUAGCAAAACGAGCGAAUAAAUAAUGGAAUAUUGCUUCCUGUAGUACAGUAAUUGUGAUAUUUGUUUAUCAUGUUAAGUAUUGCGUGAAGCAAUGGGUGCAAUUUCACCGGUAAUUUGCACAAUAGGUGGAUGAAUAUAUUUGCAAAUCAUCAGCUCGGAGAUUAUAUAGGUGACGUUUAUGUUGAUUAGUUACGUGAUACUAUAUUACGCAUCAUAAUUUAUAAUUAUUAUAUCUAUGUUAACAUAUAAGUAAAGCACGUGAGUUUUUUUGACUUGGAUACAUUUGAGGUGAUAUUACAUUUGAUGAAUACUUUAGAUGUUAUCACAUUGAGAUAAAACAGGACAUAUUAUGUUAUUGUAGUUUAAAAUAAAAUGUCACGUGGGAACAACAA